rnacentral:rRNA from 1 species
UACGUAGGGUGCGAGCGUUAAUCGGAAUUACUGGGCGUAAAGCGUGCGCAGGCGGUUUUGCAAGCCGGAUGUGAAAUCCCCGGGCUCAACCUGGGAAUGGCAUUUGGGACUGCAAGGCUCGAGUGCAGCAGAGGAGACUGGAAUUCCUGGUGUAGCAGUGAAAUGCGUAGAUAUCAGGAGGAAUACCGAUGGCGAAGGCAGGUCUCUGGGCUGACACUGACGCUCAUGCACGAAAGCGUGGGGAGCAAACAGG